GUCUUGUACCGUUCUAGGUACAACUCAUAUCAAUGUUUUUCAUACAAUAUGAAAUACAUAAAUCACCUUUCUGCAUAUGCAUAAAGGAUUCAAUUUACGCAUUAUUUCUUUGGGAGUCAAAGGGGUACAUUCCCUUUGAGAAGGGCAACUUGCUAGUCUUACUAGAAUCGUCCUUCUUAUUGAAGUUUAUCAUCAUAUGAGAAACUUCCUAGCAUCCAUUGUCUAUU
rnacentral:lncRNA from 1 species